GUGUCAGCCGCCGCGGUAAUACAGAGGUCCCAAGCGUUGUUCGGAUUCAUUGGGCGUAAAGGGUGCGUAGGUGGCGUCGUAAGUCGGGUGUGAAAUUUCGGAGCUCAACUCCGAAACUGCAUUCGAUACUGCGGUGCUUGAGGACUGGAGAGGAGACUGGAAUUUACGGUGUAGCAGUGAAAUGCGUAGAGAUCGUAAGGAAGACCAGUGGCGAAGGCGGGUCUCUGGACAGUUCCUGACACUGAGGCACGAAGGCCAGGGGAGCAAACGGGAUUAGAUACCCUCGUAGUCC
rnacentral:rRNA from 1 species